rnacentral:rRNA from 1 species
GACAGAGGCCUCAAGCGUUAGGCGGAAUCACUGGGCUUAAAGCGUGUGUAGGCGGAUCGUUAAGUGUCUUGUGAAAUCCCACGGCUCACCCGUGGAACUGCUGGGCAUACUGGCGAUCUUGGGCCAACUAGGGGCAACUGGAACAAGCGGUGGAGCGGUGAAAUGCGUAGAUAUCGCUUGGAACGCCAACGGUGAGAACAGGUUGCUGGGGUUGUGCCGACGCUGAGACACGAAAGCCAGGGGAGCAAACGGG